AAAGCGCGUUUAAUGGCAAAAUGACAGCCUUCCAAGCUGUUGACAUGGUUCGAGUGCCACCGUUCGCUUUA
rnacentral:tRNA from 1 species